GGGGACUCCUGGAGUCCAUGCAGUAUGCAGAGGGCGGGGGCUUGGAGGAAAGUCGUUGAUGAUGAGCACUGCCUGUUGGGGCUAAGGGAGGUGGGGCCUUCCAGAAUUUAGAUAAGAAAACUGAGACACAGAAAAGUCACACAAGAUUAUCGAGGUCAACACAGAGAACAGUGGAACCUGCACCUGACCCCAGGCAGGCGGAACCUUCAUGACCACACCACACCACCACAGGGAACAGGCAGGGAAAACAAUGGGUCUAGCAGGACAAAAGUGACAUUUCCCAGAGUUUCUUGCUGUUUGGAUCUGGCUGCAGUUUCAGUUUUGCCAAGAAGAGGCAUUUCCAUGAGCUCUGGACAGUGGCAGAGAGGCAGAGGUGCUCCACUGCAGUGUGCUGGAUGGUCCACGGGCUCCUGCCAAUGUGAGGAUUUGCAGCAACUGGUAUAUCCAUGGUCUUGUCACCAGCUUCCUGAAUUCGGGGCAGCUGGAGCCACACUAGUGGUCCUUCCUUGCAGGGGCAGCAGCUGUCUCCUGGUCUCAGAAUCACAGCUGUGGGGAUGCAACCUUAAGCCAAAAGCCUAGCGGUGGGUGGUCCUAAACUUCUUUUGUCUAGGCCCUCUGAUCCCUCUGUAAGUCGCUAUUUCCCUUAUUAAAUCUCUUUCUGC
rnacentral:lncRNA from 1 species